ACAUAUAGCAAAUAAUCAUCGAAUGCCUCUCGCGUUCCACUUCCGUGACGUCCACAGAGAGCGUGUCACAGUGAGCCACAAAGAGCUAUCUACUCUCGCUGUUGAGAUCUAGUUAGUAGUCACUCUUUUAGCCUUCUCGCAUCAGAUCAGCUGAAAAGAUGUUUGAUGAUCAAGACCUGGGAUUUUUUUCCAAUUUUCUUGGCAUUUUUAUAUUUGUUCUGGUGAUAGCUUAUCAUUAUGUGAUGGCUGACCCAAAGUAUGAAGGCAGCUGAAAUUGGUGGCGUUGUACACUCAAAUAAGUGUCUGAAUCAUAGUCAAUCAGUGUGAAUUCGUGUAGUUUGAUCAUUAUGAAAGUUUAAAAUAGAACAUUUCAGGCAAAUUCUCUAACGCUUCAAACUUUUUGAGGUUUUGGAAUGUGAAGUUUGUAAUGGCAGGGAUUUUGGGAGAAAAUCAUUAUCUCCACCAUGCCGC